rnacentral:rRNA from 1 species
AAUAGAUACCCCGGUAGUCCACGCCGUAAACGAUGAGUGCUAAGUGUUAGGGGGUUUCCGCCCCUUAGUGCUGCAGCUAACGCAUUAAGCACUCCGCCUGGGGAGUACGGCCGCAAGGCUGAAACUCAAAGGAAUUGACGGGGGCCCGCACAAGCGGUGGAGCAUGUGGUUUAAUUCGAAGCAACGCGAAGAACCUUACCAGGUCUUGACAUCCUCUGACAAUCCUAGAGAUAGGACGUUUCCCUUCGGGGAACAGAGUGACAGGUGGUGCAUGGUUGUCGUCAGCUCGUGUCGUGAGAUGUUGGGUUAAGUCCCGCAACGAGCGCAACCCUUGAUCUUAGUUGCCAGCAUUCAGUUGGGCACUCUAAGGUGACUGCCGGUGACAAACCGGAGGAAGGUGGGGAUGACGUCAAAUCAUCAUGCCCCUUAUGACCUGGGCUACACACGUGCUACAAUGGAUGGUACAAAGGGCUGCAAGACCGCGAGGUUUAGCCAAUCCCAUAAAAACCAUUCUCAGUUCGGAUUGCAGGCUG